rnacentral:rRNA from 1 species
AGUGCUUAAUGCGUUACGUGCAGACUAAGGGGCGGAAACCCCCUAACACUUAGCACUCAUCGUUUACGGCGUGGACUACCAGGGUAUCUAAUCCUGUUUGAUCCCCACGCUUUCGCACAUCAGCGUCAGUUACAGACCAGAAAGUCGCCUUCGCCACUGGUGUUCCUCCAUAUCUCUGCGCAUUUCACCGCUACACAUGGAAUUCCACUUUCCUCUUCUGCACUCAAGUUUUCCAGUUUCCAAUGACCCUCCACGGUUGAGCCGUGGGCUUUCACAUCAGACUUAAAAAACCGCCUACGCGCGCUUUACGCCCAAUAAUUCCGGAUAACGCUUGCCACCUACGUAUUACCGCGGCUGCUGGCACGUAGUUAGCCGUGGCUUUCUGAUUAGGUACCSUCAAGACGUGCAUAGUUACUUACACAUUUGUUCUUCCCUAAUAACAGAGUUUUACGGUCCGAAGACCUUCAUCACUCACGCGGCGUUGCUCCGUCAGGCUUUCGCCCAUUGCGGAAGAUUCCCUACUGCUGCCUCCCGUAGRGGUCUGGACCGUGUCUCAGUUCCAGUGUGGCCGAUCACCCUCUCAGGUCGGCUACGCAUCGUUGCCUUGGUAAGCCGUUACCUUACCAACUAGCUAAUGCGGCGCGGAUCCAUCUAUAAGUGACAGCAAAACCGUCUUUCACUAUUGAACCAUGCGGUUCAAUAUAUU